rnacentral:misc_RNA from 1 species
CAGAGUUCAUGCCCUUCGGGGUAGACCUCCCACCCUUGUGUAUUUAUACCUUUGUUGCUUUGGCAGGCCGCUAGGCUCUGUUCUAGCUACCGGCCUUGGCUGGUAUGCGCCUGCCAGAGGACCCAAAACUCUGAAUAUUAGUGUCGUCUGAGUACUAUAAAAUAGUUA